rnacentral:lncRNA from 1 species
CUAAGUGGAGCCAAGUGACUGAGUCUGGCUAUGGAAUGGAGGCUGAAGUAAUAUACACUACUUUUAGGCCUGGCCUUAAAGAUGUCCUCAAGCUCUCUCUAUUGCCACCUCCAAUCCCUUUCUGGUCUGAGCGGCAGCAAGCAAAGGAUUCAAAGCUCAAGAGGUUGACCGGAAGAGCCCGUAAUGGAAGGAGCAUGGACACCUGAGUUGCCUCUUGAGGAGAGCUGCCCGGAUGACUUCCUGCCCUGGAACAUCCACACUGGGCUUUGUCAAUACCCGCAAAAACUUCAAUAAAGCUAAAGGAGAUGCUGAAGAGGAGGAGAAGGUAGCCCAGAAUGGAUCUGUAACUUCCCAGGAAGGAUGUCUCCAAAAUGACAUUUUUAUUGAACGCUUCCUAUCAAAUACUAGAGCAUCCUCCAAAUUGUUCAUGCUUUCCCAAACCCGGAUCCAUGCCUGCGUGGGAAUCAAAAGCCUGCGAUAAGAGCCGCCUUGAGCAAGUCAACCUGACUCCAGCUUUCUCUUGGGUGAAGAGAACACCACAAACACCAGGAUCUCUGGCCAGCUCCCGGACUGUGGAACUUUAUACAUCCUUCGUUUCUCCUGGUGGCCUUCCCCGUAAAUUUAACGUUUAUCUCUCCACCAUGCAGAGAUGCUUGGUGGGCAAUGUGGAGUAUAUUUUUACAGCUUUGGUUUUUCUUUUAACUGUGAAGUUGUCACUAGCCUGCAGGAAAUGCGAUGCCAAAAGGAAGGGGAGUGGAUCCCUUCCAGACCUCUACAACUUUCAGAUUAUACUAAACCAGGAGCAAAAACCCUCUUUAGCAUUUGAAAGGGAAGGCAAUUGUAUUACUAAACCUCACUCAACCGCCUCCAGACUUUACUCAGCCAGAGAACAAAGGGAGAAAAGCAAACAUCACUUCACACCCUUAUUCAGGGGAGGUUAAAAGAGACCUCCCACUAUACAAAAGUCCUCUAAAGGUCAGUUUGGGAGUGUAUUGAGGAGGAAGGCACUGGCCAGGGAACAAAAUGUUUACCAUCACUCUUGGGCAGGCUGCUUCUGUUUUCCUUUCAGCACGUGCAUGGGGUACAUCUGUCAGAAUUGGACAUUUUCAUCCCUGAUUAGCUUGCUGGUGGUCAAAUUAUACUUGCUUGGCCCUCUUCAGUCUUUUUCAGAUUCUUGAUUCCAGUUGCACUAAGAAAGCAGGGCCACCCUGAGCCAAGACAACUCCCUGGUGAUGAUUGUUCAUUUAUAUUCAUCAAGUCAACAGGUAAUCAUUGAACGGGUAACAAGCACUAUACUAGGCGCUGGAAGGAUGGAACAAUGUGAGAGCUGAGGCUGUAGUCUUAGAGCUUCAAUUCAAUGGGAGAAGAAUGACAUUAAACAAUGAAACACACACUUCAUUAUUUAAGUACAACAGUGAUAAAUAUUUGAAGGAGCACACUGUGCCAAGAGAGCUUAACAUGAGAGUGGCCGACUUCACAUGGGCUGUAAGAGAGGGGGUUUCUUUCAGGAACGGAAGGAGUAGGAGUUAGCUGUGAGCCAGGGCAGUUGAGAUUCUGCUGGGUGGGGGUGGGAGCAGCAGGCAAAAACUCUCUGACUGGGAAAAAAUAUGGCCUGGCACAGGAAUUGGAAGAAGACUAACGUGGCUGGAGCCUAGAGGGCAGAAUGGGGCUGGAGACUAGGCAGGAGGGGAACUUCCACAGGGCUUUGUAUUCUGCAGGCUUUUGCUUUCUAUCUCCAAAGCAAUGGGGAGCUAGUUAUGGGAUUUAAUGAGGGAAGUAACUUAGGAGGGUUGCAAUGUAGAGAGAGAGUUUUAGGGGGCAAGAGACUAAUGCGGGGGGACCAGUUAACAAGCUGUGUCAAAAGUCAAGAUGAGAAGUUCUCGAAUUUUAAUGAGUUGCCUGGGGAUCCUGUUAGAAAUGCAGAUUCUGAUUCAGGAGGUCUGGGGUGGGGCCAGAGAUUCUGCAUUUAUUACCCAAGAGUUGUGUACUGACUUGUUAGUGAUUUCAAAUCUGUAUUUUGAAAGCUUGUUUUGGGCAAAGCUGUUUGUGGUUUGAACUUGUUUUGGAUAACUAGUUUUGAUGAAGUUUCACCAGCAACUCAAGAGCAUUCGGUCUGGGCAAGGCUACUCUUUGCUGAUCUAAAUAGCUCUCCGAAGAUCUGGAGACACUUGCUCCUGGUGUGGCCAUGCUACUCUUGGUUAGCACUGGUGUUAAACAAUGCAGCAGUCUCAGGAAGAGAUGGGACAUCUGUUCCUGCCUUGGCGAGGCUACUCCUCGUAGGCAGUGGCACAAGCUGUGUAACCAUCCCUGGAGUAAUAACUUUCAGAGAAGCCCACCUUGCCUGCCAACACUGGCACCAUUGCCCACCAGCUAUGUGCCCCAGGAGUGAAGGACCUAAGCUAGCAGCUGAUAAGCCCAGCUUUUGGUUGGAAAGGUUGACGCUACUGAGAACCAACUCGUAGAAAGGUACACCUCAACUCAGUUUGGACUUUACUUCUUUCAUCCCCCUUUGCCUGGAACAGUAGUGUAAUUAAUUUAUCAUUGGUUUGGAGUAUGUUAUUUUUUAUUGACUUAUUAAGAGACAUUAUCCUGUAUGCCACUGGCUUGUGAAAAAAUUAUAACUAGAAAUUAUAAUUCCUGUAGCAAGCUUGUGUUAAAUAAAUUAUUGG